GGAUUAGAAACCCGGGUAGUCCACGCCCUAAACGAUGCGAACUGGACGUUGGGUGGACUUAGCCACUCAGUGUCGAAGCUAACGCGUUAAGUUCGCCGCCUGGGGAGUACGGUCGCAAGACUGAAACUCAAAGGAAUUGACGGGGGCCCGCACAAGCGGUGGAGUAUGUGGUUUAAUUCGAUGCAACGCGAAGAACCUUACCUGGCCUUGACAUGUCCGGAAUCCUGCAGAGAUGCGGGAGUGCCUUCGGGAAUCGGAACACAGGUGCUGCAUGGCUGUCGUCAGCUCGUGUCGUGAGAUGUUGGGUUAAGUCCCGCAACGAGCGCAACCCUUGUCCCUAGUUGCCAGCACGUAAUGGUGGGAACUCUAGGGAGACUGCCGGUGACAAACCGGA
rnacentral:rRNA from 1 species